ACGGGCGUAGUGCAAUGGUAGAAUAUCGGUCUCCAAAACCGCUGAUGGGGGUUCGAAUCCCUCCGCCCGUG
rnacentral:tRNA from 1 species